GAUGAACGCUGGCGGCGUGCCUAAUACAUGCAAGUCGAGCGAACGGACGAGAAGCUUGCUUCUCUGAUGUUAGCGGCGGACGGGUGAGUAACACGUGGAUAACCUACCUAUAAGACUGGGAUAACUUCGGGAAACCGGAGCUAAUACCGGAUGAUAUUUUGAACCGCAUGGUUCAAAAGUGAAAGACGGUCUUGCUGUCACUUAUAGAUGGAUCCGCGCUGCAUUAGCGAGUUGGUAAGGUAACGGCUUACCAAGGCAACGAUGCAUAGCCGACCUGAGAGGGUGAUCGGCCACACUGGAACUGAGACACGGUCCAGACUCCUACGGGAGGCAGCAGUAGGGAAUCUUCCGCAAUGGGCGAAAGCCUGACGGAGCAACGCCGCGUGAGUGAUGAAGGUCUUCGGAUCGUAAAACUCUGUUAUUAGGGAAGAACAUAUGUGUAAGUAACUGUGCACAUCUUGAUGGUACCUAAUCAGAAAGCCACGGCUAACUACGUG
rnacentral:rRNA from 1 species